rnacentral:rRNA from 1 species
UGAGUACGAGCUGCUACGGCAGCGAAGUGGGUGAUGUCAUGCUUCCAAGAAAAGCCCUAUACCCGUUAAGGCAUGAUGGCCUGUACCCGAAACCGACACAGGUGGGGUGGUAGAGAAUACCGAGGGGCGCGAGGUAACUCUCUCUAAGGAACUCGGCAAAAUAGCCCCGUAACUUCGGGAGAAGGGGUGCCACCGCAAGGUGGUCGCAGUGAAGAGGCCCAGGCGACUGUUUACCAAAAACACAGGUCUCCGCUAAGUCGCAAGACGAUGUAUGGGGGCUGACGCCUGCCCAGUGCCGGAAGGUUAAGGAAGCUGGUCAGCGUAAGCGAAGCUAGCGACUGAAGCCCCGGUGAACGGCGGCCGUAACGAUAACGGUCCUAAGGUAGCGAAAUUCCUUGUCGGGUAAGUUCCGACCCGCACGAAAGGCGUAACGAUCUGGGCGCUGUCUCGGAGAGAGGCUCGGCGAAAUAGAAUUGUCUGUGAAGAUGCGGACUACGUGCACCCGGACAGAAAGACCCUAUGAAGCUUUACUAUAGCUUGGUAUUGUGCUCGGGCUCGGAAUGCGCAGGAUAGGUGGGGGGCUAUGAACCAUUGCUUGCGGGUGAUGGUGAGCCACUGGUGAGAUACCACUCUUUCCGAGCUAGAGUUCUAACAGCCACCCGUUAUCCGGGGGCUGGACAGUAUCAGGUGGGCAGUUUGACUGGGGCGGUCGCCUCCUAAAAGGUAACGGAGGCGCGCAAAGGUUUGCUCAGGCUGGUUGGAAAUCAGCCGACGAGUGUAAAAGCAGAAGCAAGCUUGACUGUGAGACCUACAAGUCGAACAGGGAGGAAACUCGGCUUUAGUGAUCCGACGGUUCUGCGUGGAAGGGCCGUCGCUCAACGGAUAAAAGUUACUCUAAGGAUAACAGGCUGAUCUCCCCCAAGAGUUCACAUCGACGGGGAGGUUUGGCACCUCGAUGUCGGCUCAUCGCAACCUGGGGCUGAAGUCGGUCCCAAGGGUUGGGCUGUUCGCCCAUUAAAGCGGUACGCGAGCUGGGCUCAGAACGUCGUGAGACAGUUCGGUCCAUAUCCGGUGCGUGCGCAGGAAUAUUGAGAGGAUUUCUCCCUAGUACGAGAGGACCGGGAGGAACGCACCUCUGGUGUACCAGUUAUCGUGCCAACGGUAAACGCUGGGUAGCCAUGUGCGGAGAGGAUAACCGCUGAAAGCAUCUAAGUGGGAAGCCCACCUCAAGAUGAGUAUUCCCAUGGGGUAACCCAGUAAGGUCACGGGAAGAACACCCGUUGAUAGGCUCUACGUGGAAGCGCAGUAAUGUGUGAAGCGGAGGAGUACUAAUAGACCGAGGGCUUGACC